AAAGGCCGCAGUAUUUUGACUGUGCUAAGGUAGCAUAAUCAUUAGAUUUUUAAUUGGGAUCUAGUUUGAAUGGUUUAAUGAAAUAAAUACUUUUUUAUUAUAAUUAAUUUAAAUUUAUUUUUAAGUAAAAAAGCUUAAAUAUUUUAAAGGGACGAGAAGACCCUAUAGAAUUUUAAAUAUAUUAUUUAAAUUAUAUAAAUUUAUAAUUUUUAUUUGAUUUAAUAAUAAUUUUUUAUUGGGGUGAUAAUUAAAUUUUAUAAACUUUUUAUUUAUAAUUCAUUAAUAAUUGUUUUUAUGAUCCAUUUUUUAUGAUUAAAAAAAUAAAUUACCUUAGGGAUAACAGCAUAAUAUUAUUAAGAAGUACAUAUUUUUAAUAUUGUUUAUGACCUCGAUGUUGGAUUAAAUUAAAUAUUUAUAUGAAGAUAUAUAAAUUAUAAGUCUGUUCGACUUUUAAUUAUUUACAUGAUCUGAGUUCAAACCGGUGUAAGCCAGGUCGGUUUCUAUCU
rnacentral:rRNA from 1 species